rnacentral:lncRNA from 1 species
UUAUCAUUUCUGGAUUGCUGUCUGUCAUUUUGGGAAGAAAAUCAAACAAGCAUCUGCCCUGCUCAGUCCUGGGUGGAGAAGCUACCAGAACCACAUCUCCUGUCUGUCCCACCAUAAGUCUCUGCUUCAUUCACGCUUUCAUGUGUCGUGCAUCAAGCAAGCACUUGCCUGUAGGCUUGGGGAGCUCUGAGAGGGGUUGAGAGUGAACAAAAUUAAUCAAAUCGUAUAACAGAAGAGAAAGUCCCAUCCUGCCGAGGGUCCUGGAUGUGAGAACCUGCUGCUGGCCUGGUGGGAUCGUGGUGCCCCAGGAGCAUGAACUGCUCAGGAGCAGACCCUGACCAGAUCCGCUGCAGGCCUGGAACAGCCUGAUCAGCAGCAUCCUAAGCCCCGUGGCUGCCACAGUGGGCCUCAUUGUCCUUCCCUAUCACCUAGCCGGGGUGUUCCCAGCUGCCAGACAGUGCCAACUGGUGGUGCCUGCCCAUCAGUGCCCCAAGACAGCCACUACUUUUCGAAGAAUGAGACCACCAGCUGCUUUGUGGCCAGCUCCAGCUUACUGGUGUUUCCUGACCCAAAGUGACACAGUGAUCACCAGCAUGCCCCAGGCAGCAUUUGCUGACACUGUCCUGGAGAUGAACAAGGAGUGCACUCUUAGUGUGGGGGCAGAGAGAGAGAGCACAUUGUAUGCAGGAGUCAGCUGAAUGAUCUCACAGACCCCACCUGCUGGGCUCUUCCAUUUUAUCAGAAUUAUUCCGCCUGUUCACGUGCAGAGAGAACUCUUGGGGCAGAUUUUAAGACCUUAGAGAGUAACUUGUUUACAAAUAAAAUAUCUCUUUGAUGA